GCCCUGCUCUCUACAAGACUGCCCUGGAGAGCAGCUUUCCACCCCUCCUCCUGCACCCUGCGUGCAGGUCCCGCCAGGGCAGAUGUCCCCACUAAGGGCGCCCCCUCCCCGCUCCGCGGAGGGAGGGAGGGAAGGAGGGAGUCCCCCUCGUACCGCUCCGCCCCGCGCGGCUCCCCGCGGCGGCCGUUGGGGCGCGCCUUCGGGAACGUUCUCGCCGGCAACGGCCGCGCGGGAGCAGACUUCCAUGGCUUCAAAGUUCAAUUCACUAAAGAACUAUUCAUAAUUUAUAGCUUGAGGAGAAUCUAUAAUGCAAAAAUUCACUCGGUUGAUUUUUAACCUCGUGAACUGAUACUUGCCUUGGGAGAUAAACAGUGCCAGAACCUCAGCACAGAAACUACUGUAUAUCUUUUUCUCCAGAAUGACACCAAUUUGUUAUAACUCAGAUUCCAG
rnacentral:lncRNA from 1 species